rnacentral:rRNA from 1 species
GACGAACGCUGGCGGCGUGCCUAAUACAUGCAAGUCGAACGGUCUUUUCUAUGGAAGCUUGCUUCCACUGAGAAGAUAGUGGCGAACGGGUGAGUAACACGUGGGUAACCCGCCCAUAAGAGGGGGAUAACAUCCGGAAACGGGUGCUAAUACCGCAUGGGUUUCUUGAUCGCAUGAUCGAGAAAGGAAAGGCGGCCUUUGUGCUGGCGCUUAUGGAUGGACCCGCGGCGUAUUAGUUAGUUGGGGAGGUAACGGCUCACCAAGACGAUGAUACGUAGCCGACCUGAGAGGGUGAUCGGCCACAUUGGGACUGAGACACGGCCCAAACUCCUACGGGAGGCAGCAGUAGGGAAUCUUCCGCAAUGGACGAAAGUCUGACGGAGCAACGCCGCGUGAGUGAAGAAGGUUUUCGGAUCGUAAAACUCUGUUGUCAGAGAAGAACAAGUCGGAGAGUAACUGCUCCGGCCUUGACGGUAUCUGACCAGAAAGCCACGGCUAACUACGUGCCAGCCGCCGCAGUAACAC